rnacentral:rRNA from 1 species
GUUUGAUCAUGGCUCAGAACGAACGCUGGUGGCGUGCCUAACACAUGCAAGUCGAACGAGAAAGUCCGCUUCGGUGGAUGAGUAAAGCGGCGCACGGGUGAGUAACACGUGGAUAAUCUACCUCCGAGUGAGGGAUAACUCGUCGAAAGGCGGGCUAAUACCUCAUAACAUCUCGCGAACCGCGGUUUGCGAGAUCAAAGGUGGCCUCUGACAGCAAGCUGUCGCUUGGAGAUGAGUCCGCGGCCCAUUAGCUAGUUGGUAGGGUAAUGGCCUACCAAGGCGACGAUGGGUAGCUGGUCUGAGAGGAUGAUCAGCCACACUGGAACUGAGACACGGUCCAGACUCCUACGGGAGGCAGCAGUGAGGAAUAUUGCGCAAUGGGGGAAACCCUGACGCAGCAACGCCGUGUGAGUGAUGAAGGCCUUCGGGUCGUAAAGCUCUGUUGGGAGGGAAGAAAGGGUCGUGCCGAAUAAUCACGAUCUCUGACGGUACCUCUAGAGGAAGCACCGGCUAACUCCGUGCCAGCAGCCGCGGUAAUACGGAGGGUGCUAGCGUUGUCCGGAAUUACUGGGCGUAAAGCGCGUGCAGGCGGCCAGUUAAGUCAGAUGUGAAAUCCCUGGGCUUAACCCAGGAACUGCAUCUGAAACUGGUUGGCUAGAGUACG